rnacentral:rRNA from 1 species
CUAACGACGGUACGACAAGGAGCCGCCUAGGGUAAAACUGGUGACUGGGGCU